rnacentral:pre_miRNA from 1 species
AAUGAGAUUGCUAGGUGAUGUUAGUUCUAUUUUUAAUUUUUUGAGGAACCACCACACUGUUUAUCCUAAAUGAGUUACUGAUUUACAUUCCCAUCAGCAGU